rnacentral:rRNA from 21 species
GUGCAAUGGCAUAAGCCAGCUUGACUGCGAGCGUGACGGCGCGAGCAGGUGCGAAAGCAGGUCAUAGUGAUCCGGUGGUUCUGAAUGGAAGGGCCAUCGCUCAACGGAUAAAAGGUACUCCGGGGAUAACAGGCUGAUACCGCCCAAGAGUUCAUAUCGACGGCGGUGUUUGGCACCUCGAUGUCGGCUCAUCACAUCCUGGGGCUGAAGUAGGUCCCAAGGGUAUGGCUGUUCGCCAUUUAAAGUGGUACGCGAGCUGGGUUUAGAACGUCGUGAGACAGUUCGGUCCCUAUCUGCCGUGGGCGCUGGAGAACUGAGGGGGGCUGCUCCUAGUACGAGAGGACCGGAGUGGACGCAUCACUGGUGUUCGGGUUGUCAUGCCAAUGGCACUGCCCGGUAGCUAAAUGCGGAAGAGAUAAGUGCUGAAAGCAUCUAAGCACGAAACUUGCCCCGA